AUUGAACGCUGGCGGCAGGCUUAACACAUGCAAGUCGAGCGGGGUGAUGGUGCUUGCACUAUCACUUAGCGGCGGACGGGUGAGUAAUGCUUAGGAAUCUGCCUAUUAGUGGGGGACAACAUCUCGAAAGGGAUGCUAAUACCGCAUACGUCCUACGGGAGAAAGCAGGGGAUCACUUGUGACCUUGCGCUAAAAGAUGAGCCUAAGGCGGAUUAGCUAGUUGGUGGGGUAAAGGCCUACCAAGGCGACGAUCUGUAGCGGGUCUGAGAGGAUGAUCCGCCACACUGGGACUGAGACACGGCCCAGACUCCUUCGGGAGGCAGCAGUGGGGAAUAUUGGACAAUGGGGGGAACCCUGAUCCAGCCAUGCCGCGUGUGUGAAGAAGGCCUUAUGGUUGUAAAGCACUUUAAGCGAGGAGGAGGCUCUUUUGGUUAAUACCCAAGAUGAGUGGACGUUACUCGCAGAAUAAGCACCGGCUAACUCUGUGCCAGCAGCCGCCGUAA
rnacentral:rRNA from 1 species